ensembl:lncRNA
GUUCUGCUCCAGAUUAACCUGAGCACCCAGAGGCAUGCAUUCCUCUCUUCCAAUUCCUGACAUUUCUUGAGGCUCCCCUGGGGUACAGGAAUUUGCUCUCGAGUGCUUUCUUGGAUCCAUGUUCCAACUCAUAUUCCCAGGACUCCCAGCUAUGCCUCUGCAUCAGGCUGGGCCUCCUCCAGCGGCCUAACCCUGUAGAGGGUGCUGCAGGCAGGGGAGACCAAGGUUCCUGGGGCAUUUUCCUCCUCCCCACCCUCGUGUUAGCUGUUGACCCAGGGGCCUGAGAGCUAUAUCUGAGGUGGGUUAGUUGCUUCAGUUGUAUCUGACUGUUUGCAACCCCAUGGAUUGUAGCCCACCAGGCUCCUCUGUCCAUGGGAUUUCCCAGGCAAGAAUACAAGGGUUGGUUGCCAUUUCCUCCUCCAGGGGAUCUUCCCAACCUGGGGAUUGACCCAGGUCUCCUGCAUUGCAGGCAGAUUUUUUACUGUCUGAGCCACCAGGGAAGCCCUCCAUAUCCGAGAUGGGAUUUGGCAAACUUGAGUUGAUUGUUUUAGUUUGGCCCCUUAGCUGACCCCCAGUGCAAAGAUGAACUUUUUUUGCAGUCAUUUUAUUGCCUGGGAUAAAUAUUGCUGUUGAUUUUUCAUGGCUGAUAACAGCUCAGCUUGAGUGUGGCUAGCUGGAACUGGGGGUGUGGAACACAAGGAGUUGUUUGAGAGAGAAUGAAAGUGAGGAUUUGCCACUUGAUUUUCUCGAUGGAGGCCUUCUCACUGUUAAGGGAGAGAGAGACACACACUUUGACAGAGGUGGCAGCCCCUGGGCAGAGACUAGAGGAGCUGUGCAUAGUAAGAGGUCCAUGGAAAUGCAGUGGUCCCUGUUGCCUGGCAUCUGCUGUUGGCUCCAUCAGAUACCUACAGCUCCCAAAGAAUGAGUCAUUCCUCCCCAGCAUAUAAAAAAGGGAUGAAUCAGAACUCAGUUUAGAUCUUGGCUUUGCCACUUAUUAGCUGUGUGACCUUGGGCAAGCACACAACUUUUCUGUGCCUCAGUGUCGUCGUCUAUAAUAAGGAAAUAAGCAGACCUACUUCAAAAGAUGCCUGGAGGAGGAAGUUUCUGGCCCACGGAGGGCUGUCAGUGAAUAUGUUCCAGCUCAGCUAAUUGCCUCGUCUUCCAUCUGCAGCUCCUUCCCCACAAUCUUCAGGAAGGUUGAUCUGAUAAAUCCAUAGAGAAGGUAGAGACAGAGGAAAAGAAAGGUCAGGGUCAGGAUGCUUGCUGAGAGCAAGACGCACAGAAAGAGGAGCAGCUCCUGGCUGGCCAGGAAGUAGCCGAGCUGGCCUUGACGCACCAAGCUUCUCCCCUCUCAUGGGAGCUGCGCCAGCUCUGCCUGGCAUGCUCAUCCAGUCAUUCCACCUACAACCAUCCUGUAUGCUCACCCGUGCACUGCGCCUGCUCCAGAGGGCACCUCUCCCUCCUUCACGUCUUUCUCAUGGAUUACAGUCUACGGCCGACCAGCUGCUGCUGCUGCUGCUGCUAAGUCGCUUCAGUCGUGUCCGACUCUGUGCAACCCCAUAGACAGCAGCCCACCAGGCUUCCCUGUCCCUGGGAUUCUCCAGGCAAGAACACUGGAGUGGGCUGCCAUCUCCCUCUCCAAUGCAUGAAAGUGAGAAGUAAAAGUGAAGUCACUCAGUCGUGUCUGACUCUUAGCGACCCCAUGGACUGCAGCCUACCAGGCUCCUCCUUCCAUGGGAUUUUCCAGGCAAAAGUACUGGAGUGGGGUGCCAUUGCCUUCUCCGUUUUUCCAAAGCAUAAUAUAUUUAUUUCAAAGAAAUAUAGUAAGGUGAUUAAUAAGAAAUGCUCUUGUAGUAAAACUAUUACAUUGGGAUAAAAUUCUGUGGGGAGGAAGUAUAUGGA